UAGGCUGCAACUCGCCUACAUUAAGUCGGAAUUGCUAGUAAUCGCGGAUCAGCAUGCCGCGGUGAAUACGUUCCCGGGCCUCGUACACACCGCCCGUCACACCAUGGGAGUCGGUAACACCCGAAGCCUGUAGUCUAACCGCAAGGAGGACGCAGUCGAAGGUGGGAUUGAUGACUGGGGUGAAGUCGUAACAAGGUACC
rnacentral:rRNA from 1 species